GACGAACGCUGGCGGCGUGCUUAACACAUGCAAGUCGAACGAUGAACUUGGAGCUUGCUCUGGGGGAUUAGUGGCGAACGGGUGAGUAACACGUGAGUAACCUGCCCUGGACUCUGGGAUCACUUCGAGAUAUCGGAGUGAAUACCGGACAGGACCUUCCACCGCAUGGUGUGGGGUGGAAAGGUUUCCGGUUUGGGAUGGACUCGCGGCCUAUCAGCUUGUUGGGGAGGUAAUGGCUCACCAAGGCGUCGACGGGUAGCCGGCCUGAGAGGGUGACCGGCCACACUGGGACUGAGACACGGCCCAGACUCCUACGGGAGGCAGCAGUGGGGAAUAUUGCACAAUGGGCGCAAGCCUGAUGCAGCAACGCCGCGUGCGGGAUGACGGCCUUCGGGUUGUAAACCGCUUUUAGUAGGGAAGAAGCCUUCGGGUGACGGUACCUGCAGAAAAAGGAUCGGCUAACUACGUGCCAGCCGCCGCCGUAAAAC
rnacentral:rRNA from 1 species